rnacentral:rRNA from 1 species
GACGAACGCUGGCGGCGUGCCUAAUACAUGCAAGUCGAGCGAAGUAUGAGGAGCUUGCGUCUUAUACUUAGCGGCGAACGGGUGAGUAAUACGUCGGCAACCUGCCCGAUACACUGGGAUACUUUGGGGAAACUCAAGCGACUACCGGAUAGGAUCACUGACUGCCUGGUUGGUGAUGGAAAGUCUGAACGACACUAUCGGAUGGGCCUGCGGCGCAUUAGCUCGUUGGUGGAGUAAGGGCCUACAAAGGCGACGAUGCGUAGCCGACCUGAGAGGGUGGUCGGCCACACUGGGACUGAGACCCGGCCCAGACUCCUACGGGAGGCAGCAGUAGGGAAUCUUCCACAAUGGGCGAAAGCCUGAGGGAGCAACGCCGCGUGAGUGAGGAAGGUUUUCGGAUCGUAAAACUCUGUUGUUAGGGAAGAACACCCGAGAGAGGAUCUCGGAAUGACGGUACCUGACGAGAAAGCCCCGGCUAACUACGUGCCAGCCGCCGCAGUAAGAC